AGGGGCAGCAUGAACUUAGCUUGCUAAGUUUGAUGGCGACCGGCGCACGGGUGAGUAACACGUAUCCAACCUGCCGAUGACUCGGGGAUAGCCUUUCGAAAGAAAGAUUAAUACCCGAUGGUAUAUCUGAAAGGCAUCUUUCAGCUAUUAAAGAAUUUCGGUCAUUGAUGGGGAUGCGUUCCAUUAGGUUGUUGGCGGGGUAACGGCCCACCAAGCCAUCGAUGGAUAGGGGUUCUGAGAGGAAGGUCCCCACAUUGGAACUGAGACACGGUCCAAACUCC
rnacentral:rRNA from 1 species